rnacentral:rRNA from 1 species
UACGGAGGGGGCUAGCGUUGUUCGGAAUUACUGGGCGUAAAGCGCACGUAGGCGGCUUUGUAAGUUAGAGGUGAAAGCCCAGGGCUUAACCCUGGAAUUGCCUUUAAGACUGCAUCGCUAGAAUUGUGGAGAGGGAAGUGGAAUUUCAGGUGUAGCGGUGAAAUGCGUAGAUAUCUGAAGGAACAUCAGUGGCGAAAGCGACUUCCUGGACCAAUACUGACGCUCAUGUGCGAAAGCGUGGGGAGCAAACAGG